CACGGGGGGAGCAAGCGUUGUUCGGAAUCACUGGGCGUAAAGGGCGUGUAGGCGGCCACCGCAAGUCGACUGUGAAAUCUCCGGGCUUAACUCGGAAAGGUCAGCCGAUACUGCGGGGCUAGAGUGCAGAAGGGGCAACUGGAAUUCUCGGUGUAGCGGUGAAAUGCGUAGAUAUCGAGAGGAACACCUGCGGCGAAGGCGGGUUGCUGGGCUGACACUGACGCUGAAACGCGAAAGCUAGGGGAGCGAACGGG
rnacentral:rRNA from 1 species